UAAGCCACUUUUGGGAGUCUUUUGGAUG
rnacentral:piRNA from 1 species